GGCCUGCCCACUGAGGAUUUAAAUGGCCGCGGUAUUUUGACCGUGCAAAGGUAGCAUAAUCAUUAGUUUUUUAAUUGAAAGCUGGAAUGAAUGGUCGGAUGAGAAAAUUACUGUCUCUGUUUAAAUUAAUUAGAAUUUUAUUUUUAAGUUAAAAAGCUUAAAUUAAGGUAGAAGACGAGAAGACCCUAUAGAGUUUUAAUUAAGUUGGGGUGAUUGAAAAAUUUAUUAAACUUUUUUUUAAUUUAAACAUUAAUUUUUGAGUAUUUGAUCCUUAGAUAAAGAUUAAAAGAAUAAACUACCUUAGGGAUAACAGCGUAAUUUUUUUAGAGAGUUCAAAUCGAAAAAAAAGAUUGCGACCUCGAUGUUGGAUUAAAAUAUAAUUUUGGUGUAGGGGCUAAG
rnacentral:rRNA from 1 species